rnacentral:rRNA from 1 species
GAGUUUGAUCUUGGCUCAGAUUGAACGCUGGCGGCAGGCCUAACACAUGCAAGUCGAGCGGAUGACGGGAGCUUGCUCCUUGAUUCAGCGGCGGACGGGUGAGUAAUGCCUAGGAAUCUGCCUGGUAGUGGGGGACAACGUUUCGAAAGGAACGCUAAUACCGCAUACGUCCUACGGGAGAAAGCAGGGGACCUUCGGGCCUUGCGCUAUCAGAUGAGCCUAGGUCGGAUUAGCUAGUUGGUGGGGUAAUGGCUCACCAAGGCGACGAUCCGUAACUGGUCUGAGAGGAUGAUCAGUCACACUGGAACUGAGACACGGUCCAGACUCCUACGGGAGGCAGCAGUGGGGAAUAUUGGACAAUGGGCGAAAGCCUGAUCCAGCCAUGCCGCGUGUGUGAAGAAGGUCUUCGGAUUGUAAAGCACUUUAAGUUGGGAGGAAGGGCAGUAAGUUAAUAACCUUGCUGUUUUGACGUUACCGACAGAAUAAGCACCGGCUAACUCUGUGCCAGCAGCCG